rnacentral:rRNA from 1 species
UACGUAGGGGGCAAGCGUUGUCCGGAAUCAUUGGGCGUAAAGAGCGUGUAGGCGGCCAGGUAGGUCUGCUGUGAAAACUCGAGGCUUAACCUCGAGCUGUCGGCGGAAACCAUCUGGCUAGAGUCCGGAAGAGGAGAAUGGAAUUCUCGGUGUAGCAGUGAAAUGCGUAGAUAUCGAGAGGAACACCGGUGGCGAAGGCGAGUCCCUGGACAACACCUGACACUGAGGCACGAAAGCUAGGGGAGCAAACAGG